UUAACCUACGUGGUGAUUACUUUAUUUCAAUUCUUUUAUAUGCAAAGAAAUAUUUAAAGUAAGAUGUUUUCUUUAGUCAAAAUUCACACUAGAGGGAAAGAAAAAAAGUUAUACAAUUAGUUGAAACUUGUGAAAUAAGAAAUAAACGAAAUGGAAAAUGCUAUAUUAAAUUAGGAAACGGAAUGAUAUCUACAGGCAAGCUUCUUUGCAGUUUAGACGAUAAACAAAUAUUAAUAGAUAUACAAGAAAAACUAACUAAAGAGUCACCAAAAAUUUUAUUAAAAAAAACAAAUUGAGUAGAAAAUAAAAAAUCAUUAUUUACGUCUUUUGAUAAACGUUAUCUUUCGUCCAAAAGAAACGAUACAUCAAUUAACAAACAUCAAUCCAUUAAACUUUCUAUUUAAAAGAAAAAGGAAAAUAUAAACUGUGAUAUAUUUGCAAAGAACAAGUUGCUGAAUACAUCUAUUUUAGAAAAAAGUCUUGAUUCUUUUUCUAUUACGAAUUCAACGAAUUUGCCAAUAAAAGAGAAACCUAUUUCUUUAAGAACAUUGACAAUGACGUCGAAGCCAUCUGUGUCCAUAAAUAAUACUUUAUUUAUAAAAGAUAAAAAUAAAAAAUUUUGUACAAAUUUACAACAGUUAUUCUCUGAUUUAGAAAGGAAAAAUUGCAAAAAUGAGAUUAAUGAUCGGAACAAGACUAAUGAAACUAAUAAGAGAGAGAUUAAUGAUAAAAAUAAGAUAGUAGAGAUUAAUGUGGUUAAUGAUAAAAAUGAAACUGAUGGGAUUAAUGUGAUUAAUGGUAAAAAUCAAAGUGAUGAGAUUAAUGAUAAAAAUGCGAUUAAUGGUAAAAAUAAGACUGAUUAGAUUAAUGCGAUUAAUAAAAAUGUGAUUAAUGAGAAAAAUAAGACUGAUGAGAUUAAAGUAAUUAAUGAUAAAAAUAAGAUUAAUGAAAUUUAUGAUAAAAAUGUAACCAAUGAGAUUAAUGUGAUUAAUGGUAAAAAUAAAACUGAUGAGAUUAAUGAUAGCAAUGAAAAUAAUGAGAUUAAUGGUAAAAAUAAG